rnacentral:rRNA from 1 species
UACGGGGGGGGCGAGCGUUAUUCGGAAUUAUUGGGCGUAAAGGGCGCGUAGGCGGCCUGGUAAGUCAAAGGUGAAAUCCCUCGGCUCAACUGAGGAACUGCCUUUGAAACUGUCAGGCUCGAGUCCGGGAGGGGGUGGCGGAAUUCCCAGUGUAGCGGUGAAAUGCGUAGAUAUUGGGAGGAACACCGGUGGUGUAGACGGCUCACUGGACCGUAACUGACGCUGAGACACGAAAGCGUGGGUAGCAAACAGG